GUGGCUAGAUCCGUCCCUGAAGAUAAUCAUUUUACUUAUCAUAAGUUCCUCCUUAGGAUUACUGAAUUACCUUCUUCUGCCUAUUUUGCUAGCUUAUAUUUCAUAAAAGUCUAUGCAUAUUUUCCUUAGCCCUUGUCUGGAGCUGCUGCUUCAACAAAUUUUAGCCAAAAAUGGAGCUGUUAUCUUUGACCAUGGGCUCCACCCGUGAGAGAAGCAGUCAAAAGUUUUGGCUGCCAACGGUUAGAAAACCAAUUUUUUUCCCCGAAAAAUUGGCUCCAGACAAGUCCUUAAUUUCCAUCUAAACCUUCUAGUUCGACAAUCAUGUUCUUUAUUAGGUAGGGUUUUACCUUUAAAAUUUUCCUUCAACUUUCUUUGCUAGGUUUCUAAUGAAAUGAGCGACAUGAUUCCAUAUUAAGUUAUCAUUCCAUUUAAAUCUCACCUUCCUUUGUUCGCAAAUUUAUCCUUGAAAGGCACUUGUAUUCCUACUUGUUCACUGUUUACUCUUUAUAGACUCGAAACCUUUUGUGUUUCCUUUUCAUAUCCAACAUAGGCUAUGAUGGCGGUUGGCUCUCACCAGGUAUAAAAUUCAAAAUCCCUGCACAACAAAACAUCCAUCUUCUAUAAAGGAUUAAGGAGGGCUUUUGAAAAGUCAAAAUUAUUUCUAGAACAAAGAAGCUGUUUUCAACCUGUUCGGAUUUUUUUUCUUAGAAUAGAUUUUAGCCAAGAUGGCUUUUCCAGGAAGCUCUUUUGUAAAAGCAAAAGUAAAAGCUAUCCCCUAUAAGCUCUAAAUUCUUGUAAAGAAACUUUGCUCACUUCUAAAUUUUUUUAAGCGAGUCUUUCUUGUUGAAGCACGGAUUAUUAAAACACAAAAUCAUAAGUCAUCCUAAAGUCCAAAUUAGGGUUAUUCCACUCCUUAGGGUAUUAUAUGUACUCUUUCAUAUUUCGAUUUACUUAAUUCCCCCAUUUUUGCUUUUCGCCAUGCAUGUAUACUGAAGUUUAUAGAUUUUCUUCGUUACCUAUUGCACAUCUUUUAUGCAUGGUGUAUUGACUUUAUUCUAUGCAUCACAUUUAAUAUUCUAGGAUUCUUUAGUAUCCCUGAAUUCCAAGUUUGUACUGAAAAUCUAUUUCCAAAAUUUACUUUUUUACCAUCCAAAUAUUAGCUCUCGGCUAUCCAGGUACUGUAUGUUGUUCACUCAAUGCACAUGCCCUAUCUGAUACUUGCCAAAUCUUUGCUACAUUUGGGGUUUGAUGAUGUGCGUCACAGGUAGUGACUGCCUAAGGAAAUGAUAUGAAGGAUUUAGGUCAUAGCUGUGAUGACAUUGUAGGUUGGCAGCCAAGUUGGCACAACCUUCAUAUAUCCUUCCUUGAGCCUUUUUAUUGGGAACAUUGCCAGAGUUAUUGUUUUGAAACUUGCCAAAUAAGUUAAUCACUCUCUUGGUUGAUCCCCCUGGCAACGCACAUAGAGAUGAGAUAAAAAAAAUCCAAUUAAGACAACCUGAACAUUUAAGGAACCUACUUAGAUAUACUGCAGUAACAAGGUUAAACUUUCAUACUUUAUGUCUCUAGUUUUCUCUUUUCUCAGCAACAUGAAUUUCCACCUUCAUGGAGACUUUUGUUUUGAUAUUAGUAAGUAUAUUUCCAUUUCAGAUUUACUCUAUAAGAACGAGUAAUUUCAGGUAGUUCAACCCAAAAGAUUCUAUGUUUAGAGAGUAUGAAUUUAUGACGUUGAAAUUUGUUUGCCCAAUUUUGAUUAGCAACUGUCAGUGCCAGUAGCUGCAAGAAAAAUCGUUGUUGCAUCCACAGAAUUAGAAUACAAUGGUGGAAUCAAAAUCCAUUGGAGACCCUGUAUUUACAAAGGAGAGCCGACCUACUGGUGAACAUGCUGAGAUUUCUGACACCGAAAGACCCAUGCCUGGGUGUUUGCCGUCACCUUCUGAUCUCCAAUCUCCCAAAAGUAGUUCUGGGAAUGGCCAUAUUGUCUAUUUUCGUAGAAAAGCUGAAACUGAAUUAGGUAAAACAAGUUUUUGUGGCAAUCAAAGUGAUGCUGUUGACUGUCCACAUGGAAGGAAAUCUAAUGACCAGGGUGAUACAACU
rnacentral:lncRNA from 1 species